GUCACUUUAAAAAAAAAAUCCAAAUCAAUUGCGAUAGCAUGCUUUAUAACAAAGGGGGAAAUGAAUUGAGUGUACAAAAGGUAUACAUUUUAAUAUAAUUUCACUCAUAUUUGGCAGUGUAACAGUUAACCGUUAUAUGUGCUAGAAUCAGCAAUGUCUCAAUUUCGGCUACAAAUAUUGGGCAGCAAUUGGUUUACUCUUAUCUGGUCUCUGAUCAUCAUUUAAAUUCCAGUUAAAACCUGGAUUGUAAGCGCAUGUAAGCAGAGCUCUCUCACGUGUCUACUUUCUGUUUAUAUUAUUUUGUGGCCUCGGCUUAGAGUGGAAUUGAAGGACUGUCUUUUGUUUGUGUGGUUUUCUGGUGUAGUUUUCUGUGUGCAGCUCCUAUCUACCCCUGGAUUACUGUAUGUCAUUAUUUUGUUUGUCAAUUACUUGCUGCAGUGCUAAAU